UACGUAGGGUGCGAGCGUUGUCCGGAAUUACUGGGCGUAAAGAGCUCGUAGGUGGUUUGUCGCGUUGUUCGUGAAAUGCCACAGCUUAACUGUGGGCGUGCGGGCGAUACGGGGCAGACUGGAGUACUGCAGGGGAGACUGGAAUUCCUGGUGUAGCGGUGGAAUGCGCAGAUAUCAGGAGGAACACCGGUGGCGAAGGCGGGUCUCUGGGCAGUAACUGACGCUGGAGGAGCGAAAAGCGUGGGGAGCGAACAGG
rnacentral:rRNA from 1 species